AUGAUAAUGUAAGCACAAAGAACAACACUAUUUAAAGAUCACACACAUACCCUCUCAAACACAUCAUCUGCCUUUGGGAAAGCAACGUGUUCACUGUGAUAAGUCAGCACCAGGACCUGAGGUGGUGGGAACAGCUUUGGCUGGUUUGCUGCUCUCCAAGGAGCUCCUGUGCCGGCCUCUUUGGACAAGCAUCCCUGCCCUGCGGCGCAGAGUCUCCAGGACCAGCAGAUGGCGCACUUGCACAGUCCACACAUUUUCCAGGUUCUCAAGGAAUUGAUGGUGUCUUGGAAUAUCUGCUUCAGGAUGAUAAUGAAACUAAUGAUUUAGGGCAGAAGAAGCCAUGGGAGGAACUUUCACAUUUGGUGAGGCAAGUACAGUUUUGUUAGGGCUUUUUGGAACUGCAUUUGAAAACUUGCUUAGUGGUUUUGUGAUUUGUGGUGUAUAUCAAAUAUUGAAAAGCUGUCAGUAAACAGGAUGAGAAGUUCUCUUUUAAAUAGUCAGAGGCACUAUAAAAACUAGCAAUUCUAAACCUACUGCAAAAUAAAAAUUGCCCAAAAGAACUGUCAUUCUAGAGUGCUUACAUGCUCCUCUUAUCAGUCAGCCAAGAUUAAUGGUAAGUUCAAAAGGUCUUCAUAUUGUUGCUUUGUCCAUCCAUCUGUCCAUCCAUCCACCCAACGGUUAUUGUGUGCUGGAUUUAAUGCUAGGUAAUAUGUGAAAGUAUUCUAGGCAGCCUACAGCAGCAGCUUGCUCACAAGCUUCCUCUGUCUUCAGACAAGUCCUAAGUGCUUCAUGACUUUUUUUUUUUUAGACGGUGUCUCACUGUGUCGCCCAGGCUGAAGUCCAGUGGCGCGAUCUCGGCUCACUGCAAGCUCCGCCUCCCGGGUUCACACCAUUCUCCUGCCUCAGCCUCCCGAGUAGCUGGGACUAUAGGCGCCCGCCACCACGCCCGGCUAAUGUUUUUGUAUUUUUAAUAGAGACAGGGUUUCCCUGUGUUAGCCAGAAUGGUCUCGAUCUCCUGACUUCGUGAUCUGCCCUCCUCGGCCUCCCAAAGUGCUGGGAUUACAGGCGUGAGCCACUGCACCCGGCCGAUGACUUUUUAAUAAAAUAUGCUACAGAGAAUAUAAGGACAAAACAUGUUCCUGACAAAGCAAAGUAAAAUAUGUGUAAGUUAUUAAGGCUCAACUGUGUCUGAAUUUUUAGUGCUAUGUGUUUUAAAUUGUUUUAAGUGAAAACAACACACUAAUAGAUUUCCUUUAUAAAAGUUCAGAUAUUCCAGACAAAGCAAAAAUAUCCUUUCUAAGCAAUGUGUUUGAUGUGUGUCCUUCCAGACUGAAAUACAUACAUAUACUUGGUUUUUAAAUCAAUAGACUCACAUCAUAUGUGUUGUGCUACAUCCAGCUUUUUGCACUUAAUACGUCUGGGAGGUAUUUAUCAUUGCAGUUGUCUCAAAAAUCUCUGUGGUUCCUAGGGAAAGUACCUUUAUCUUUGGUUUUAACCAUCAUAUUCAUGUGUCAGGCAGAAACAGAAGGUAUGAUAAUAUAGACCUUGCCUAAUAGUGAAUAUUAUGAAAUAACUGUGCAGGGAUUGCCAAUUUUUGGUGGGUUUCUAAAUUUUUGCUCACUUCUAUUAAAGGGUUGAAGUGUUAGCAGACAAAAGUCUAAAUAUAAUUGGCCUGCACUGGAAGGUUAAAAGUACAGUUCUCCUAAUAGAGUUCUUAUGAUCACUAAGGAAAACAUCAUCUGAACUUUAUAGUGACCAACAAAUCAGGUGAGAACAGGCAGUUCAGACACUCUAGCCAUGAAUUCUAAGGUGGAUGAUAGAGGCUAUACCAUAAUCUUUCUCUCUCUGUGAUAUAAUGACUUUCAUGGCUAAUUAGAUCUAUGGCCAAGAAGGUCAAUUUCCUGGCUGUUAGAGCAAGCACAUUUGUAAAAGAGAAAUCAUUUUAAACCCAGCAAUAGUGAGUGCAAAGUUAUUUCAAUACUUUUUCUCCUCUUUGCAGAUGAUUAAUCCUAUUUCUGUUUCACCAACUUAUUUUAUCUUGAAAUCUUAAUUAUUUUCUAAUAAAUGACUGGGAAUAGAGGAAGCUAGCUGGCCCAUGUCCUCUGUUAGGUUUAUUUUUUCCCCUUCUUUGCACACUGGUGAAAAGACGUUGAUGCAUAACAUCUAGAGAUGCCAUGCUUACUAUGUCAUUAUAAACAGCUUACUCUAACUGGGAUCCCACAACCACAGGGAAAAACAUACAGUUUUAUUUACAAAGAAGACUGAACCCAUUUUAACUUCUGUAUCAAAUCCUCCAGGUAGGUUGACUUCAAUAGU
ensembl:lncRNA